rnacentral:rRNA from 1 species
UACGAAGGGGGCUAGCGUUGCUCGGAAUCACUGGGCGUAAAGCGCACGUAGGCGGACUCUUAAGUCGGUGGUGAAAUCCUGGAGCUCAACUCCAGAACUGCCUUCGAUACUGGGAGUCUCGAGUUCGGGAGAGAUGAGUGGAACUGCGAGUGUAGAGGUGAAAUUCGUAGAUAUUCGCAAGAACACCAGUGGCGAAGGCGGCUCACUGGCCCGAUACUGACGCUGAGGUGCGAAAGCGUGGGGAGCAAACAGG